GGAGAGAUGGCUCAGCGGUUAAGAGCACUGUACUGUUCUUCCAGAGGUCCUGAGUUCAAUUCCCAGCAACCACA
rnacentral:tRNA from 1 species